AAGUGUAAUACAUUACUCUCAGGGCCUUGAACAAGACCCAGUGAACAAUUUUUGGAGACCCUACUCUUCGGAGUAGGGUG
rnacentral:snRNA from 1 species